GUGUGUGAUAUAACCAUCGUUAAUGCAUCGUAUCCCAUCGAAACUCCACAGUUAAGCACACUUGGGAUAGAGUAUUACUGGGAUGGGUGUUAUCCUAGGAAGUCCUAGUGUUUCACCCC
rnacentral:rRNA from 1 species